rnacentral:tRNA from 1 species
GGCGUCUGUAGCUCAGUUGGUUAGAGCGCUGCACCGGAAUCGCAGGGUCGCAGGCUCGAUUCCUGCCAGGGCCC